UACGUAGGGGGCAAGCGUUGUCCGGAUUUACUGGGCGUAAAGCGCGUGUAGGCGGUUGAGUAAGUCUGCUGUGAAAUCUCCGGGCUUAACCUGGAGGGGUCGGUGGGAACUGCUCGACUUGAGGACGGUAGAAGGGGGUGGAAUUCCCGGUGUAGUGGUGAAAUGCGUAGAGAUCGGGAGGAACACCAGCGGCGAAGGCGGCCCCCUGGGCCGCUCCUGACGCUGAUACGCGAAGGCCAGGGUAGCGAACGGG
rnacentral:rRNA from 1 species